rnacentral:ribozyme from 15 species
CAACCAGCAAAAAAGAAAGAGAAAAAGGAAGAAAAGAAAGAGAAAAAAGAAAAGAAGGAAAAGAAAAAGAAGAAGACCAAAUCUUAAAAUCUUGAUCGAUU